AAGCUUAACACAUGCAAGUCGAGCGGGGAAGGUUGCUUCGGUAACUGACCUAGCGGCGGACGGGUGAGUAAUGCUUAGGAAUCUGCCAUUUAGUGGGGGACAACAUUCCGAAAGGAAUGCUAAUACCGCAUACGUCCUACGGGAGAAAGCAGGGGAUCUUCGGACCUUGCGCUAAAUGAUGAGCCUAAGUCGGAUUAGCUAGUUGGUGGGGUAAAGGCCUACCAAGGCGACGAUCUGUAGCGGGUCUGAGAGGAUGAUCCGCCACACUGGGACUGAGACACGGCCCAGACUCCUACGGGAGGCAGCAGUGGGGAAUAUUGGACAAUGGGCGGAAGCCUGAUCCAGCCAUGUCGCGUGUGUGAAGCAAGGCCUUAUGGUUGUAAAGCACUUUAAGCGAGGAGGAGGCUACCAGGUAUUAAUACUACUUGGAUAGUUGGACGUUACUCGCAGGAAUUAAGCCACCGGGCUUAAACUCUGUUGGCCAAGGCAAGGCCCGCGGGGUAAAUUACCAGAAGGGGGUGCCGAAGCCGUUUAAUUCCGGCAUUUUAACUUGGGGGGCCGUUAAAGCCGUUGGCGU
rnacentral:rRNA from 1 species